GCAGGGGUGCGGCCAGCAUCGGAAAGCAUUGUCAUUACCUGACAUAUUAUCUGCCUGAGAAGGCCCAGGUUUGUUCUGUGAGCGACGCCAGCAUCUCUAGCGUAAAAGCCAAGGGUCCUGCGGAACGAUGUCCCAAAAGUUGUCACAAUCAUCAACAGCUGCUGGCCAGUGGAGCAACUGAAAGUCUGUGGAAAAACUAGUUUCUCUUGCUUCCCAGAGGCCAGGCACCCAAAUGGGGUCUCUGAACAAAAUGGAUUUCAUUACAAGGCUUUCUGCUUUUUGUCUGAAGAAAAGCAAGAUGCAACAGAGGCACCAAAGUAGUAGACGACCAACUGCUCCACUUGGAUCACGGAUUUUAACUGAUCCUUCUAAGGUUUUUGAGCAUAACAUGUGGGAUCACAUGCAGUGGUCACGAGAAGAAGAGGAGAAUGCCAAGGAAAAAGCGACAGAGAACUCACUUGUGAAAGUCCAGUGGGAAGAGCAAGAUAAAUAUGAGAGACAAGCCAGUAAAUAUUGGAAUGAAUUUUACAAGACUCAUAAAAAUAACUUUUUCAAGGAUCGCAAUUGGCUGUUCCUGGAGUUUCCAGAAAUUCUUCCAGAAAAAAGGAGAGAAAGAUUGAAAACAGAAGAAAGAUCUUCAGAACUCACAAAAAUAAAGAGUACCAACAGGUUUUCACACAAAGAUGAAAUGUUUGAAGAAGGAGAAAAAUAUUUGAAGAAAAGUUACAAAGGUGGUUCUACUUCUGUACAAGGAGAUGUAUAUAAUAAAACCCAAGCAAAGUCUCUUACUGACAAUCCUCAGGGUAAAAACGAUGGAGAAGAACUUGGCAGGCUUGAAUCCUUCCCUGGUAGUGAUGCCACUUACAGAAUAUUAGAGGUUGGUUGUGGUGCUGGAAACAGUGUCUUUCCUAUUUUGAAAGUUCUAUGCAAUACACCUGGAACAUUUCUGUACUGUUGUGAUUUUGCUUCAGGAGCAGUGGAGCUGGUAAAGUCACAUUCGUCCUACAAUUCAGCCUGGUGUUCUGCCUUUGUUCAUGAUGUGUGUGAUGAUGCUUUACCCUAUCCUUUUCCAGAUGAGAUCCUGGAUGUCAUUCUCCUUGUCUUUGUGCUUUCUACUAUUCAUCCUGACAGGAUGCAAGGUGUUGUAAAUAGGUUGGCUAAACUACUGAAACCUGGAGGAAUGUUGUUAUUUCGAGACUAUGGAAGGUACGAUACAGCUCAGCUUCGUUUUAAAAAAGGUCAUUGCUUAUCAGAAAAUUUUUAUGUACGAGGAGAUGGAACCAGAGUAUAUUUCUUUACCAAAGAUGAGGUAUGGAACAUGUUCACCUUGGCUGGAUUAACUGAAGUACAGAACUUAGUCGAUCGGCGAUUACAAGUAAACAGGAAGAAACAAGUGAAAAUGCAGCGAGUUUGGAUUCAAAGCAAGUUCCAAAAACCAUUGCUGCUAUCUCCAAAUGAUUCUGCAGAAAACAUCAAAAGGUGCCCUUAAUUGUACCACAAGCUCCAGAAACUGAGGCAAAUUUGGGUGCAGACCGUGAUGCUGAGGCUGUUGAGCUGGCAUUUAAAGAUGCCAUUUCUGCUAUUUCAAUGUAAAUUUACAAUCACUCAGCUACAAAGAGGAGAGUACAAGAACCAGCAAAACCAAGACAGAUGCUUGUGCCUUGUCUAUAAAACCACUGAAUCUGAAGAGGACAACCAAAAUGCAGGGCAAACUGGGAGACAGCAGGAAUUCUAGUGACAGUAGGGAAAAGUUUCUUGUAUUGGAGACUGUUAUUUCUGUUCUGUCUUUAGCUGAGUUGCAAGUGAAAGACAAGGAAAUCUGCAGGUUCUGCUGUUUAAUAAUGACUAAGAAAUUGUAACAAACCAUCCUGAAAUUUGUAUUAAACACCAGUGGAAAUCACAUAAAUUUUGCUACUUCAUUUUGA